GAUGAACGCUGGCGGCGUGCCUAAUACAUGCAAGUCGAGCGAACAGAUAAGGAGCUUGCUCCUUUGACGUUAGCGGCGGACGGGUGAGUAACACGUGGGUAACCUACCUAUAAGACUGGGAUAACUUCGGGAAACCGGAGCUAAUACCGGAUAACAUUUGGAACCGCAUGGUUCUAAAGUGAAAGAUGGUUUUGCUAUCACUUAUAGAUGGACCCGCGCCGUAUUAGCUAGUUGGUAAGGUAACGGUUUACCAAGGGAACGAUACGUAUCCGCCCUGAGAGGGUGACCGGCCACACUGGAACUGAGCCACGGUCCAGACUCCUACGGGAGGCAGCCGUAGGGAAUCUUCCGCAAUGGGCGAAAGCCGGACGGAGCAACGCCGCGUGAGUGAUGAAGGGUUUCUGCUCGUAAAACUCUCUUAGUAGUGAAGAACAACCGUGUAAAUAACUGUGCACGUCUUGACGGUACCUAAUCAGAAAGCCACGGCUAACUACGUG
rnacentral:rRNA from 1 species